rnacentral:rRNA from 1 species
AGAGUUUGAUCAUGGCUCAGAUUGAACGCUGGCGGAAUGCUUUACACAUGCAAGUCGAACGGCAGCACGGGGGCAACCCUGGUGGCGAGUGGCGAACGGGUGAGUAAUACAUCGGAACGUGCCCAGUCGUGGGGGAUAACGUAGCGAAAGCUACGCUAAUACCGCAUACGAACUCUGGUUGAAAGCGGGGGACUCGCAAGGGCCUCGCGCGAUUGGAGCGGCCGAUGGCAGAUUAGGUAGUUGGUGGGGUAAAGGCUCGCCAAGCCGACGAUCUGUAGCUGGUCUGAGAGGACGACCAGCCACACUGGGACUGAGACACGGCCCAGACUCCUACGGGAGGCAGCAGUGGGGAAUUUUGGACAAUGGGCGCAAGCCUGAUCCAGCCAUUCCGCGUGCAGGAUGAAGGCCCUCGGGUUGUAAACUGCUUUUGUACGGAACGAAACGGCCUUUUCUAAUACAGAGGGCUAAUGACGGUACCGUAAGAAUAAGCACCGGCUAACUACGUGCCAGCAGCCGCGGUAAUACGUAGGGUGCAAGCGUUAAUCGGAAUUACUGGGCGUAAAGCGUGCGCAGGCGGUUAUGUAAGACAGGUGUGAAAUCCCCGGGCUUAACCUGGGAACUGCAUUUGUGACUGCAUAGCUAGAGUACGGUAGAGGGGGAUGGAAUUCCGCGUGUAGCAGUGAAAUGCGUAGAUAUGCGGAGGAGCACCGAUGGCGAAGGCAAUCCCCUGGACCUGUACUGACGCUCAUGCACGAAAGCGUGGGGAGCAAACAGGAUUAGAUACCCUAGUAGUCC